rnacentral:rRNA from 1 species
ACCCGCUGAACUUAAGCAUAUCAAUAAGCGGAGGAAAAGAAACCAACAGGGAUUGCCCUAGUAACGGCGAGUGAAGCGGCAACGGCUCAAAUUUGAAAUCUGGCGUCUUUGGCGUCCGAGUUGUAAUUUGCAGAGGGCGCUUUGGCAUUGGCAGCGGUCCAAGUUCCUUGGAACAGGACGUCACAGAGGGUGAGAAUCCCGUACGUGGUCGCUAGCCUUUACCGUGUAAAGCCCCUUCGACGAGUCGAGUUGUUUGGGAAUGCAGCUCUAAAUGGGAGGUAAAUUUCUUCUAAAGCUAAAUACUGGCCAGAGACCAAUAGCGCACAAGUAGAGUGAUCGAAAGAUGAAAAGCACUUUGGAAAGAGAGUUAAAAAGCACGUGAAAUUGUUGAAAGGGAAGCGCUUGCAGCCAGACUUGCCUGUAGUUGCUCAUCCGGGUUUUUACCCGGUGCACUCUUCUAUAGGCAGGCCAGCAUCAGUUUGGGCGGUUGGAUAAAGGUCUCUGUCAUGUACCUCUCUUCGGGGAGAACUUAUAGGGGAGACGACAUGCAACCAGCCCGGACUGAGGUCCGCGCAUCUGCUAGGAUGCUGGCGUAAUGGCUGU